AUGAACGCUGGCGGCGUGCCUAAUACCUGCAAGUCGAGCGAACGGACGAGAAGCUUGCUUCUCUGAUGUUAGCGGCGGACGGGUGAGUAACACGUGGAUAACCUACCUAUAAGACUGGGAUAACUUCGGGAAACCGGAGCUAAUACCGGAUGAUAUUUUGAACCGCAUGGUUCAAAAGUGAAAGACGGUCUUGCUGUCACUUAUAGAUGGAUCCGCGCUGCAUUAGCUAGUUGGUAAGGUAACGGCUUACCAAGGCAACGAUGCAUAGCCGACCUGAGAGGGUGAUCGGCCACACUGGAACUGAGACACGGUCCAGACUCCUACGGGAGGCAGCAGUAGGGAAUCUUCCGCAAUGGGCGAAAGCCUGACGGAGCAACGCCGCGUGAGUGAUGUAGGUCUUCGGAUCGUAAAACUCUGUUAUUAGGGAAGAACAUAUGUGUAAGUAACUGUGCACAUCUUGACGGUACCUAAUCAGAAAGCCACGGCUAACUACGUG
rnacentral:rRNA from 1 species